rnacentral:rRNA from 1 species
AGCAGUCGCCGCGGUAACACGGAGGGUGCAAGCGUUAAUCGGAAUUACUGGGCGUAAAGCGCACGCAGGCGGUCUGUCAAGUCAGAUGUGAAAUCCCCGGGCUUAACCUGGGAACUGCAUUUGAAACUGGCAGGCUAGAGUCUUGUAGAGGGGGGUAGAAUUCCAGGUGUAGCGGUGAAAUGCGUAGAGAUCUGGAGGAAUACCGGUGGCGAAGGCGGCCCUGGACAAAGACUGACGCUCAGGUGCGAAAGCGUGGGGAGCAAACAGGAUUAGAUACCCGUGUAGUCCCUGUCUCUUAUACAC